rnacentral:rRNA from 1 species
UAAGUAAGCGGAGGAAAAGAAACUAAAUAGGAUUCCCUUAGUAAUGGCGAAUGAACAGGGAUCAGCUCAGGAUGGAAAUCGGGGCCCUCGGCCUUGAAUUGUAAUCUGGAGAUGCAUUACCAACUGGGGCACAGAUGUAAGCCUCUUGGAAAAGAGCAUCAGUGAGGGUGAGAAUCCCGCAUGGCAUCUGUAGUCCUCAGUGUACGGUGUGCAUUCUAAGAGUCACACUCCUCGGGACUGGAGUGCAAAUCGGGUGGUAAAUUUCAUCUAAAGCUAAAUAUUUGUUCGAGACCGAUAGCAAACAAGUACCAUGAGGGAAAGGUGAAAAGGACUUUGAGAAGAGAGUUAAAAGUGCCUGAAAUUGCUGAAAGAGAAGCGAAUGGAACCAGUCAAACUUGGCAAGAUUGUUACGUGCCAGCGGGAUUGCUCGCUACUUCAGCGAAAGCGUGGUAGUGGGUUUUGAUCGUGACGUGCGUGGUGUUUCUUGCUUGGCCUGUCAACUUCAGUUCACGGGUGAGGAAAAACUUCAAGGACCUGGUAGCUUGCCAUCUGGUGGGUGAAUGUGCUUGUUGGAACUCAUCUGUGGUCUGAUCGUUGAUGAAAUGGUUCCAUCCGACUCG